CUCCGGUGAUCCUGCCGGACCCGACUGCUAUCAGAGUGAGAUUAAGCCAUGCGAGUCAACGUAGCAAUACGUGGCACACGGCUCAGUAACACGUAGUCAACAUAACCAAAGGACGUGGAUAAACUCGGGAAACUGAGGCUAAACCGCGAUAGAUCAAGAUAUCUGGAAUGGUUUUUGAUCGAAAUCUAUAUGGCCUUUGGAUUGGACUGCGUCCGAUCAGGCUGUUGGUGAGGUAAUGGCCCACCAAACCUGUAACCGGUACGGGCUCUGAGAGGAGGAGCCCGGAGAUGGGUACUGAGAAAAGGACCCAGGCCCUAUGGGGCGCAGCAGGCGCGAAACCUCUGCAAUAGGCGAAAGCCUGACAGGGUUACUCUGAGUGACUUUCGCUAAGAAAGUCUUUUGACAUCUCUAAAAAUGGUGUAGAAUAAGGGGUGGGCAAGUCUGGUGUCAGCCGCCGCGGUAAUACCAGCACCCCGAGUGGUCGGGACGAUUAUUGGGCCUAAAGCAUCCGUAGCCGGUUUUACAAGUCCUCCGUUAAAUCCAGCUGCUUAACAGAUGGGCUGCGGAGGAUACUAUAAGACUAGGAGGCAGGAGAGGCAAGCGGUACUCAGUGGGUAGGGGUAAAAUCCGUUGAUCCAUUGAAGACCACCAGUGGCGAAGGCGGCUUGCCAGAAUGCGCUCGACGGUGAGGGAUGAAAGCUGGGGGAGCAAACCGGAUUAGAUACCCGGGUAGUCCCAGCUGUAAACGAUGCAGACUCGGUGAUGGACUAGCUUUAUGCUAGUCCAGUGCCGCAGGGAAGCCGUUAAGUCUGCCGCCUGGGUAGUACGGUCGCAAGACUGAAACUUAAAGGAAUUGGCGGGGGAGCA
rnacentral:rRNA from 1 species